rnacentral:rRNA from 1 species
GGUCAAGUUAUUAAGGGUUUACGGUGGAUGCCUUGGGUCCAAGAGCCGAAGAAGGGCGUAGCAAGACUGCGAUAAGCCUCGAUCAGCUGUCUAGCAAGCUUAGUCGAGGAUUCCCGAAUGGGGAAACCCGUCCUGGGUUAUACCAGGACAUACGGCAUGCCGUAUGGUAAGUGUGUGAACUGAAACAUCUAAGUAACACGAGGAAUAUAAAUCAAAAGAGAUUCCCUGAGUAGUGGCGAACGAAACGGGAACAGCCCAAACCGAGCGGGCUUAGUGGGGCGAGACCCUAUGUCAGUUCGGUGUUGUAACGCGUUCUAGUCUCGAUCUCGACAAGGGACAAGAAGUUACAAAAUCUUUUUCUAGCUGAAUGAACCUGGAAAGGACAACCGGAGAAGGUGAGAGUCCUGUAAGCGAAAGGGAAAGAACUUCUGGAGCGUCGUUGAGUACCACGGAACACGUGAAAUUCUGUGGGAAUCUGGGGAGACCACU